rnacentral:rRNA from 1 species
UACGAAGGGGGCUAGCGUUGCUCGGAAUCACUGGGCGUAAAGGGUGCGUAGGCGGGUCUUUUAAGUCAGGGGUGAAAUCCUGGAGCUCAACUCCAGAACUGCCCUUGAUACUGAGGAUCUUGAGUUCGGGAGAGGUGAGUGGAACUGCGAGUGUAGAGGUGAAAUUCGUAGAUAUUCGCAAGAACACCAGUGGCGAAGGCGGCUCACUGGCCCGAUACUGACGCUGAGGCACGAAAGCGUGGGGAGCAACGGG